AUAUUUCAAGUAGCCAACAAACAACACUUGCUGUUGGGAUAAAUUAGUAGUGCUUCUUAAUUUUAUUGUAUGGAUUAUGAUAAGUGGCCGAGAGAAAGUCUGUCUUCUGAGAAAUGAUAAUUUCAUUUCUGCACAGCUGAAUACUUAUUCUGUCAAUUGUUGAUUAUAAGUAAUCCAUUUUAUUUAUUUAUUAAAUGAAGAGUUGAGAAAGUUUCAGAGCCAACGUAUUUCAGGCUUUGCUAAACACCAUAAGUAAACUGGUGGAAGCUCAGCAAUCAACAAAAAAUGCAGCACAGAAUGCCAAAUGAAAAAUAAGAGCAAUGAAUGGAGUGCCAUAUUCAGCUUGAACAAAAUCACGGUUCAUCCUUCUGCGGAGCUGUGAGCUGCAUGCUGGUUGUAGAACAGCCAAAGCCAAAGCUGAUGCUGAAGCUAAAGUCGACAUCUGCUCUCGUGCUGCCCACUGCCGCCGACUGGACAACACAGCACACCGUACUCACGUAACUGCUCACCACUCUGUGUUGAUAACUCCCGCAGGAUUGACAUCCACCGUAUGCAUUAUCCACUCGAAACAAUUUUGUUAAGUUUUGAGCUAAUCCCGUGAACUCAUUGCUUGUAAUAUGGGUGCACUUUCUGCUGCCACUGUCUUCUUCUUUCUUAUUGUUUCAGAUUUAUGACAAUAAAUUAUAUUUUCCAUUCA